rnacentral:rRNA from 1 species
UACGUAGGGUGCAAGCGUUAUCCGGAAUUAUUGGGCGUAAAGAGCUCGUAGGCGGUUUGUCGCGUCUGCUGUGAAAACUGGAGGCUCAACCUCCAGCCUGCAGUGGGUACGGGCAGACUAGAGUGCGGUAGGGGAGAUUGGAAUUCCUGGUGUAGCGGUGGAAUGCGCAGAUAUCAGGAGGAACACCGAUGGCGAAGGCAGAUCUCUGGGCCGAUACUGACGCUGAGGCGCGAAAGCGUGGGGAGCAAACAGG